CCUACGGGAGGCUGCAGUGGGGAAUAUUGGACAAUGGGCGAAAGCCUGAUCCAGCCAUGCCGCGUGUGUGAAGAAGGCCUUCGGGUUGUAAAGCACUUUCAGUGGGGAAGAAAGCCUUGGGGCUAAUACCCUCGAGGAAGGACAUCACCCACAGAAGAAGCACCGGCUAACUCCGUGCCAGCAGCCGCGGUAAUACGGAGGGUGCGAGCGUUAAUCGGAAUUACUGGGCGUAAAGCGCGCGUAGGCGGUCUGAUAAGCCGGUUGUGAAAGCCCCGGGCUCAACCUGGGAACGGCAUCCGGAACUGUCAGGCUAGAGUGCAGGAGAGGAAGGUAGAAUUCCCGGUGUAGCGGUGAAAUGCGUAGAGAUCGGGAGGAAUACCAGUGGCGAAGGCGGCCUUCUGGACUGACACUGACGCUGAGGUGCGAAAGCGUGGGUAGCAAACAGGAUUAGAACCCCUGUAGUC
rnacentral:rRNA from 1 species